AGUGAACGCUGGCGGUAGGCCUAACACAUGCAAGUCGAACGGCAGCACAGUAAGAGCUUGCUCUUACGGGUGGCGAGUGGCGGACGGGUGAGGAAUACAUCGGAAUCUACUUUUUCGUGGGGGAUAACGUAGGGAAACUUACGCUAAUACCGCAUACGACCUACGGGUGAAAGCAGGGGAUCGUCGGACCUUGCGCGAUUGAAUGAGCCGAUGUCGGAUUAGCUAGUUGGCGGGGUAAAGGCCCACCAAGGCGACGAUCCGUAGCUGGUCUGAGAGGAUGAUCAGCCACACUGGAGCUGGGACACGGUCCAGACUCCUACGGGAGGCCGCAGUGGGGAAUAUUGGACAAUGGGCGCAAGCCUGAUCCAGCCAUACCGCGUGGGUGAAGAAGGCCUUCGGGUUGUAAAGCCCUUUUGUUGGGAAAGAAAAGCAGCAGGUUAAUACCCCGCUGUUCUGACGGUACCCAAAGAAUAAGCACCGGCUAACUUCGUG
rnacentral:rRNA from 1 species